GCCCGGGUAGCUCAGUGGGUUAAGCGUCCGACUUCGGUUCAGGUCAUGAUCUCGCGGUCCGUGAGUUCGAGCCCCACAUCGGGCU
rnacentral:tRNA from 1 species